AAUUAAACUAAUAUGUGUGCUGUCUAAGUAGUAAACUUGAUAUAACGGUAAAAAAUGGACAAGGCGCCACCAUUUAGACAGUGUUUCUCAUGUUAUCACAAGAUUUUAACCACCACGGUCUCGAAGUGAUUAGCACGUUCAAACACGCUACGUUGACCUAAUAGGUAGCGUCAGAUAUUAUUCGAUUAGGCCUACUUCCUAUCCUACAUAUAGCCUAAUUGCAGUAAACACCUGACUUCUCUUUUUCAUUUAUAAAACACGGUGGAAACGGUGGCCGAGCUGUGGGCGAGGCUAGCAGCAGCUUCAAGCUUACAAAAAAACUAGCUAUCAGCAAGCUAGCUCUAGUUAGAUAUGAGUCUAGCUAGCAUGUUCUAACUAGUAAUUGAAGCAGAAAGUGAAGUAUUUUAUUCUUAACAUCCCCUGCCGUUGUGCUGCACUUGUUAGAUUUGUUUGCAGCCCGUGUCUGAAUGAGAGACAACUAGGGGUGUCGGGUGAUGGGACAUUAUAACUAAACCGAAGCCUUUUAUUUUGACGUUCGUAAUUACAUUCUGCAACUUGACAUUGUUUAGCGAUUACGUGCAGCUGGCUGUCAGUUAGUUGCAGAUAGCAGUGGUUUAGUGCUGGUAUGAAACGCCAAACUUAGUGAGCUCACGGGGAGAGUGCCUCCGCAGUAAAUUCUACAACUUGUCAAGGCACUUUGUAAAAUGAUUUCCCCUCGCGGCUUGUCUGCUCCUCUAGUCCGGCGACGUCUAGUGGGCUACCUCUAGCCGGUUAACCAGAGAUCGCACUGGCGUCCGGAUCCUUUGUAAGCUGAUCACGUUAUGUCCGUCUGUGCUAAGACUGGAAGUGACUGAAAGACAACACAGAUGCAUUCUUUCAGCAAGGUGACCAAAAUCUGUUUCACUCUGCAGCACUUGUCCUGGAGGUUUUGUAGACAGAACUGGAAGUGACUGAAAGAAAACGGAGACUUAUUCUUUCAGCAAGGUGACCAAAAUCUGUUUCGCUCUGCAGCACUUGUCCUGGAGGUUUUGUAGACAGAGUGACUGAACGAAAACCUAAAUGAGAAAUGCUGUGUACCUCAUCUUGAACUCUUUCACAUGGUGAUUCCUACACAUAAUUGCACACUGUAUGUGUUUAGCUAUCCUAUCUUACAAAGACUUAUUGCCAAUACUGUAUCUGCCUUUCCUCAAUACAAUGUAAAAAGUGCUGCAUAGACCAUUUAGAGAAGCAAUGUCUCAUGACUUUUGCUGUAUGUUUAUUUUUGAUCAAGUUUCAUUUGUUUUGUAAAAUAUCUUUGCAGAUUUUCUUUUCGUGCCUGGACACUUUUUUCCUUUCAAAUAUUGCUUUGAAUUGAUGCAAAUUGAAGAACGUGAAUCCCUGGUAAUAAAGGAAGGUUGACCAGAAAAUAA